UGGCUCCACGCAUUUGUUUUUAUUCACGCAGCAACGUGAUCGGCGUGUUUUCGAUGAUCUCGACGCUCAGCAUGAUCCAUUGUGCAGUGUUAAGUUCAGAUAAGUUUUCCUCAUCGUCUACAGCAGUGAAUUCUCUUGUGCGCUUCGUCGUUUCCGCCCGCUGGAUAUCGACGAUUUUGACAGAGAACUCUACGAAGUCUUCCCGGCUUGCGAGGAACACCGCAGCACCCACUUACUGCAGAUGAACCAAACUGAGGAAGGGAUGGAGGAGGCGUGAGUCGAACAACAACCGACGUGUUCCGCGGAAACUCCGCGAUGCUCAACUGGUACCGGGAUCACGAAAAACUACUACUAGAGUUUGAUCUCCUAUUCAAAGGGAACCCGAUUACAAGCCGUGGAGAGAGGCUGCAAGCAGCUUGGAUACCCUACUUCAAACUUUGGAGAGGAAGAGGAGGCAGCGUUUACAGAAGUGGGAUCCGG